rnacentral:lncRNA from 1 species
UUUUGUCUUUAGAUUCCUUCAGGGCUCAGGGCUAGGACUCCAGAGACUUUCUUGGGUUUUCAGAGGACAUUUCGGAAAUGGGAUCCCAGUCAUCUAAAUGUUCUGAGGGAAAUCCUCCUUCAGGGAUGCCAGCCGGGUUAUGUUUAAGAACUGUGGGCCUCUAUGUGUGCACUUUUAACUGAGUGGGAUGAACUGACCAAAAGCAGUUCGGAAUCUCAAUGGCCAUCAUGGAGAACUUUCAAGCUCCCCAAACUAGCUUUUCUUAAAAUCAUAUUGGAAGACCAUGGCUCUAAAAUGAAGCAAAACAAAUGGUACUUUACCUCCAACAUGGGACACGACAACCAGCAAUGGUUCUUCCUGGCACAGAGGGACAUUCAGCUUGAAAUAGUCCACAUACCGGUGUGGCACAUCUUGGAGCAGCCUGCCCUGAACCCCAUCAAUAGGAACCAAUCAUAUAAAAGAUCCAAGAAGAAGCUGAAUGAGAAACAUGUCAGAUUUGUGGGAGAAAAAACUAUGAAACAACAAAAAAGUGUAUAAAAUAGUACAAAAUAAAAUGAGUAUUAUUCCUAGGUAACUAGGAAGAGAAUGUUA